rnacentral:misc_RNA from 1 species
AACAAACUUUGACUCUCCAUUGACAACAGCGUCAGGUGCUAGUGCCAACUGGUUCCUCACAAUUUCACACACUUUGUCCAAUGUCUCUGGUUUGGCCGCACAGGAAACACGGAAACGAGAUGCAUCCUUUUUCAAUCUAAGAGAGGGGAAGCUUCUCCCGCUAAUGGGAAGUGAAACUGAUCUCAGACUAGAGAUACCAAUGCUUGAUGUCUGGGUGGUAAGCUUAAGAGAGCUUGAGAAAGAGGUCAUGGAGAUUGAAGC